UAUGAUCCAGAGUACCACGGGACACGUGAAACCCUGUGGGAAGCAGGAGGGACCACCCUCCAAGGCUAAAUACUACCUAGUGACCGAUAGCGUAUAGUACCGUGAGGGAAAGGUGAAAAGAACCCCGGGAGGGGAGUGAAAUAGAACCUGAAACCCUGCACUUACAAGCUGUGGAAGCACAUUUCUUGUGUGACCGCGUACUUUUUGUAGAACGGGCCAACGAGUUACGUUAAGUAGCAAGGUUAAGCACUUAAGGUGCGGAGCCGUAGCGAAAGCGAGUUUUAACUGAGCGUUCAGUUACUUGACGUAGACCCGAAACCGGGCGACCUACCCAUGAGCAGGAUGAAGCGAAAGUAAAAUUUCGUGGAGGUCCGAACCCACGAGCGUUGAAAAGCUCGGGGAUGACUUGUGGGUAGCGGUGAAAUUCCAAUCGAGCCCGGAGAUAGCUGGUUCUCCCCGAAAUAGCUUUAGGGCUAGCCUCAAGGUGAGAGAUACGGAGGUAGAGCACUGAAUGUCCUAGGGGGUAUUGCACCUACCGAAGACUAUCAAACUCCGAAUGCCGUCAUCUUAUACUUGGGAGUCAGACUGUGGGUGAUAAGAUUCAUAGUCGAAAGGGCAACAGCCCAGAUCGUCAGCUAAGGUCCCUAAAUGUAAGUUAAGUGGUAAAGGAUGUGGGAUUGCACAGACAACCAGGAUGUUGGCUUAGAAGCAGCCACUCAUUCAAAGAGUGCGUAAUAGCUCACUGGUCGAGUGAUCCUGCGCCGAAGAUUUCCGGGGCUAAAACUUACUACCGAAGCUACGGCAUCAGUAAUGAUGGGUAGGGGAGCUUCCCAUACGGGUUGAAGCAUGACCGUAAGGACAUGUGGACAGUAUGGGAGUGAGAAUGUUGGCAUGAGUAGCGAGAUGUGGGUGAGAAUCCCACAGGCCGUAAACCCAAGGUUUCCAGGGGAAGGUUCGUCCGCCCUGGGUUAGUCGGGACCUAAGCUGAGGCCGAAAGGCGUAGGUGAUGGACAACAGGUUGAUAUUCCUGUACUACCGAAACCGUUUGAGAGAAGGGAUGACACAGUAGGAUAAGCUAAGCACACUGUUGGUUAUGUGUGCCCAAGCAUUGAGGCAGUCAAAGUAGGCAAAUCCGCUUUGAUAAUGCUGGGAUGUGAUGGGGAGCGAAAUUUAGUAGCGAAGUAGCUGAUUUCACACUGUCAAGAAAAGUCUCUAUCGAGGUUAAAGGUACCCGUACCGCAAACCGACACAGGUGGGUGAGGAGAGUAUCCUAAGGCCAGCGAGAGAACUGUUGUUAAGGAACUCGGCAAAAUGACCCCGUAACUUAGGGAUAAGGGGUGCCACCAUCAGGUGGCCGCAGAGAAUAGGCCCAAGCGACUGUUUACCAAAAACAUAGGUUUCUGCUAAGUCGCAAGACGAUGUAUAGGAGCUGACGCCUGCCCGGUGCUGGAAGGUUAAGGGGAUCUGUUAGAGCAAUCGAAGCAGUGAACUUAAGCCCCAGUAAACGGCGGCCGUAACUAUAACGGUCCUAAGGUAGCGAAAUUCCUUGUCGGGUAAGUUCCGACCCGCACGAAAGGCGUAACGAUUUGGGCACUGUCUCAACAACAGAC
rnacentral:rRNA from 1 species